AUUUACAUAAUUUAAAAUAAAAUAUUAUAUUUUCAUUAUAAAAAUAGGGUUUCCUUGUAAAUA
rnacentral:tRNA from 1 species